AACGAACGCUGGCGGUAUGCUUAACACAUGCAAGUCGAACGAACAAAGCUCUAGCUUGCUAGAGUAGAGUUAGUGUCAAACGGGUGAGUAACACGUGGGAAUCUACCCAGUAGUACGGAAUAACAGUUGGAAACGAUUGCUAAUACCGUAUAGUAUCGAGAGAUUAAAGAUUUAUCGCUACUGGAUGAGCCCGCGUCAGAUUAGGUAGUUGGUGGGGUAAUGGCCUACCAAGCCGAAGAUCUGUAGCUGGUCUGAGAGGAUGAUCAGCCACACUGGAACUGAGACACGGUCCAGACUCCUACGGGAGGCAGCAGUGAGGAAUAUUGGACAAUGGGCGAAAGCCUGAUCCAGCAAUACCGCGUGAGUGAAGAAGGCCUUAGGGUUGUAAAGCUCUUUCAGCAGGGAAAAUAAUGAUGGUACCUGCAAAAGAAGUCCCGGCUAACUCCGUA
rnacentral:rRNA from 1 species